UCAUGGGGGUAGGAACGCGACUGGGCUGCCUCCGGAAGUGAGAGCCCCGAGGCACGUUCGUGGGAUAUCGUGCCCCGAGCCUCAGGCCCGUGCGUGCGUGAGGAGCGGAGAAGGGCGAUUUGGGGUUCAGGCCUGGCUUCUCUGGACUCUGCUUCUGCAGUGGAGGGAACCCACAGAGGACUGACAAGUUCUUACAGUUCUAAAAUCAUGGCCCAUGUGUCCUUGGCAUUCAAGGAUGUGGCCAUAGAUCUUUCUCAAGAGGAGUGGGAGUGCCUGGACACUGCUCAGAGGGACUUGUACAGGGAUGUGAUGUUGGAAAACUACAGCAACCUCAUCUCACUGGGAUGUAUCAUUCCUAAGCCAGAUGUGAUUGUUUUAUUGGAGCAAGAGAAAGAUCCGUGGCUGGAAACGAGGGAAGAAACAAGAAGGCAGUCCUCAGUUUUUGGCAGACACAACAUCGUUGUUUGUAUGUGGUGCUGAAGAUCGAACCUGGGCCGCACGCAUGCCAGGCGAGCCUGACAAUUUAUGAAAUGGUGGUUGGUGACAAUCCUUGGUGUUCCUUAGCUUGGCCGUCUCAUCUUUAGACACCAGAUACAAGAGACAAUGAUGUAAUCUUCAUCUCACUCUAGGUACACCUAUUAUUUCAGAUGAUUGCAUCUUGAGAUCUUUAACUUGAUAACAUCUGUAAAGACUUUUCAAAUUAGGUCACUUUCACAGGUACCAGGAGUUAGGACUUGGAUAUCUUUUCUGGAGGCCACUAUUCAACCCACUUCAUCUAUGAAUAAAGACUUAUUUUCUUCCUGAU